rnacentral:rRNA from 1 species
AUACGUAGGUGGCAAGCGUUGUCCGGAAUUAUUGGGCGUAAAGCGCAUGUAGGCGGUGCCUUAAGUCUGUCGUGAAACUGCGGGGCCUAACCCCGUAUGGCGAUGGAAACUGUGGCACUUGAGUGCAGGAGAGGAAAGGGGAACUCCCAGUGUAGCGGUGAAAUGCGUAGAUAUUGGGAAGAACACCGGUGGCGAAGGCGCGUUUCUGGCCUGUGUAUGACUCUGAGAGGGGAAAGCCAGGGUAGCGAACGGGAUUAGAUACCCCGGUAGGCCUGGCCGUAAACGAUGGGUACUAGGUGUGGGAGGUAGCGACCCCUUCCGUGCCGGAGUUAACGCAAUAAGUACCCCGCCUGGGGAGUACGGCCGCAAGGCUUAAACUCAAAUGAAUUGACGGGG